GUAGAUUACUAAAGGUGAAUCGGAUGAAGAAGAGCUUCCACCAUUGUUCCCUCCCAGAAGAGAAAGACAAUCUGAUGAUGCUAAUUUGACAGUACAAGCGAUACACUUCAGUUGAAAGCAUGAAAGCAUUCAACAUUUGACACACCAGAUUCGCCAAGAAGUCGCCAGAGAAAUAGUACACUGUCUCAACCAGGUACCAGUGGAGCAAGUACAACCGUUACAUCUGAGAGGUCAAAUUCCUCAUCCACUCAAAUUACCAGUACAUUGUCCUCACCUGGUAGAAAUAGAGCAACUGUAGCCCUGGAAGGCUCCAACACACCAUCAUCAAGAAGAGGCAGAGUCAUAGCAUCUCCUGUUGCAAGAAGAUCUAAUGUGAGUUUUUAAAGUACACAUCUUGACUAUUCUCAACUCGUACAAGAAAUUUGUCUGAGAUGUAAAGACAACUAACACAAGAAAUAUUCUAUUUUGAAUCAAAAAUACUUCAACAUCAUUAUGCAAGUAACAUUCAUUGAUUUAUUGACUAAGUCUUUGGUUGAAGUCUUUUAAAUUGACUCAUCCUGCUUGAAAUCCUAC